rnacentral:rRNA from 1 species
AUACGGAGGGAGCGAGCGUUAAUCGGAAUUACUGGGCGUAAAGCGCGCGUAGGCGGCUUUGUAAGUCGGAUGUGAAAGCCCUGGGCUCAACCUGGGAAUGGCAUUCGAUACUGCAGAGCUAGAGUAUGGUAGAGGGAAGUGGAAUUUCCGGUGUAGCGGUGAAAUGCGUAGAUAUCGGAAGGAACACCAGUGGCGAAGGCGACUUCUUGGGCCAAUACUGACGCUGAGGUGCGAAAGCGUGGGGAGCAAACAGGAUUAGAAACCCCGGUAGUCC